rnacentral:misc_RNA from 1 species
GUUUAGGAUCUAGAAAACGAUGGAUUUCUACUAUCGUGACGACUCGAUCGAUUUUGUGUUCAUGUUGAUUUUAGACGGUUUUUAUAGAAGUGGAUUGAAAAGUUGGAGCGUUUGGCAGUCCACAGUAGCUUUUGAUGUCCAUAAGUUGAAAGAAUCCCAAACAAACAUGGUCUAUGUCUAUGGAAGAAAAAUGUCCACCAUCGACACCUUAGCUGAGGACACACAAAUGGAGGGUGAAGCAACACCUCACAAAACCUUCACUUUCAUCUCUCACAAUCGAGAGGCCCACAAACAGAAGCAUAAACCAAGUGUGUCACUCUCACCAAUCUAGAAGAGGGGGGAGUAUAGGAGGCGACGCUAAUGAACUUACACCAAUCUACCUCAUAUUUUAGCCUUGUCAUUGUUGGUGCCCUUCUAUUAGCAACCCGUGCACUAAUUAUCGAUAGCAAAAUAGAGAAUUAGCUAGUGUAGGAGCUAAAGAUUUAGUGUUAGCGUCUUCAUCAUCCACCUGGUACUCUUUCUCAAAUCACAC